rnacentral:sRNA from 1 species
UAACAGCGCUUUUCUACGAUGCCUGGUC